rnacentral:rRNA from 1 species
UACGUAGGGUGCAAGCGUUAAUCGGAAUUACUGGGCGUAAAGCGUGCGCAGGCGGUGAUGUAAGACAGAUGUGAAAUCCCCGGGCUCAACCUGGGAACUGCAUUUGUGACUGCAUCGCUGGAGUGCGGCAGAGGGGGAUAGAAUUCCGCGUGUAGCAGUGAAAUGCGUAGAGAUGUGGAGGAACACCGAUGGCGAAGGCAGCCCCCCUGGGCCAACACUGACGCUCAGGCACGAAAGCGUGGGGAGCAACAGG